UCAGUCGACUCCUACGGGAGCAGCAGUGGGGAAUCUUAGACAAUGGGCGCAAGCCUGAUCUAGCCAUGCCGCGUGAGUGAUGAAGGCCUUAGGGUCGUAAAGCUCUUUCGCCAGGGAUGAUAAUGACAGUACCUGGUAAAGAAACCCCGGCUAACUCCGUGCCAGCAGCCGCGGUAAUACGGAGGGGUUAGCGUUGUUCGGAAUUACUGGGCGUAAAGCGCGCGUAGGCGGAUUAGUCAGUUAGAGGUGAAAUCCCAGGGCUCAACCCUGGAACUGCCUUUAAUACUGCUAGUCUUGAGUUCGAGAGAGGUGAGUGGAAUUCCGAGUGUAGAGGUGAAAUUCGUAGAUAUUCGGAGGAACACCAGUGGCGAAGGCGGCUCACUGGCUCGAUACUGACGCUGAGGUGCGAAAGUGUGGGGAGCAAACAGGAUUAGAACCCUGGUAG
rnacentral:rRNA from 1 species